AUGAUGCAAAUGAAAAAACGAAUAUUUUCUAUUAAGAAUCAAGAAAACAUGUUAUUAUUCAAUGUAAACACAAAAAUCAGCAUUGCACACAUUAUUUCAAGAGUAUUCCAUCAAGUAAACUCAAGAGCAAGCGCUAUUUCAAACCACAACGGAAACAAGAAUCAAAAGUUCACAUUGCAACAUGAGAAAUCAAAUUUAAAGUAG